UACAGGGGGGGGCGAGCGUUUGUUCGGAAUCACUGGGCUUAAAGCGCACGUAGGUGGUUUGGUAAGUGUGAUGUGAAAGCCCCCGGCCUAACCGGGGAACUGCAUCGCAUACUGCCGAGCUUGAGAGCGGUAGGGGAGACUGGAACUCCUGGUGGAGCGGUGAAAUGCGUAGAUAUCAGGAGGAACACCGGUGGCGAAGGCGAGUCUCUGGUCCGCUUCUGACACUUAGGUGCGAAAGCUAGGGGAGCAAACGGGG
rnacentral:rRNA from 1 species